CUUUAUUGAGAUCCUUAUUUCUUCAUACAGCUUUGAGUUACAGUCAGUGUUCUUUCAUUCCACCCUCCAAGACUUUCUCUAGAAUUUAUUGCAAAGCAAGUUUAGUGGUAACAAGCCCCCUGAGGUUUUGUUUAUCUGGGAAUUUAACUUCCCCCUCACUUUUAAAGUACAGUUUUGCCAAAUAUAGGAUUCUUGCUUGACAGUUUUUUCUCUUUUAGAACUUGGAAUAUAUUGGCCCCUUGCCUUCUAGAUUCCAAAGUUUCUGCUGAGAAAUUUGCUGAUAACCUUCUUGAGGAUCCCUUGCAUGUAAUGAGUCACCUUUCUCCCUGCAUUCCACAUAUUCUCUUUUUUUUUUUUUUUUUUUUUUUUACUUUUCAGAGUUUGAUUAUGUGUCUCAGUGUUGAUCUCUUUGAGUUCAUCUUAUUUGGAGUUUGUCGAGCUUGUUGAAUAUUUAUAGUCAUGUCUUUCAUCAAAUUGGGAAAUUUUCAUCCAUUAUUUUUUCAAAUAUUCUAUUUUACUCUUUCUCUCCUCUACCACUUUUGUUUUCCACAAUGCAUAUGUUGGCUUAUUUGAUGAUAUUCCAUAUAUCCUUUAGGCUCUGUUAAUUUUCUGUACUCUCUUUCCUUUCUGUUCCUCAGACUUGAUUCCAUUGUCCUAUCUUUAUGUUUGCUGAUCCUUUCUUCUUCUUGCUUUAAUCUGCCUUGAAUACAUGUGAUGAUUAUUUCUUUUCAGUUAGUAUAAUUUUCAGCUCCAAAAUUUCUUUUUGGUUUCUUUUUAGGUUUUCUAUCUCUUUAUUAAUAUUUCCAUAUUGUUCAUACAUGUGUUUAUUACUUUCUCCACAUCUUCCUUUAGUUCUGUGAACAUCUUUUAGACAGUAGUUUUAAAGUCUUUGUCUAGUAGAUUUGCCAUUAGGUCUAAUUCAAGGACAGUGCCUGUUGAAUAAUUUUUUUUCUUUGAACAGGCCAUGCCUUCCUGUUUUUCUUUUUUUGUUGGUGGUGUGAUUUUAUUGUUGUAAAUGAUAUUUGAAUAUAAUAAUACACUAACUCUGGAAAUCAGAGUCUCUGUUUACCUGGGUUUGCUGUUUUCUGUUGUUUUGUGUAUGUUUUUUAUUGUUGUAGGCUGUCUCUACAAGAAGGAUCAGCCUGAGGUGUAAAUUUAAAGUCUUCUGAGGUCUUCUCUCAGCCUGUACCUUUUUCUGGGCAUACAUAGUCACUUUCUAAUUUUCCCCAUAUGUGCAGUUGCUUUUGAAUGUCCUAGUCUAUACUAUUUGGUUAUCAAAAGGGGAAAAACAAAAAUUAACAGAUGUGAGGAAAGACCAGUGGCCCUUUACAUCCCUUAGAAGUCACUUCAGCCUGAGGGGCAGGGGCCUGCAACAAUGGGGAGAGGUACAACAAUAAUGGCUGCCCACCUCUUUGUCUGCACCUUUGCGGUCAGAGCAGCAAUUAGGGAUUCGACACAGAUUGCUGAUAUUUGAAGACAGGGUUGUUUUUGCCCACCCUGGCUCCUUCCAACUGUGUGAAAGCUGCUUCAGGACCAUGUGCACAGCUGCCUGCUGCAUUGCUGGGCGCACUGCCUGCCACAUUGCUACUGAGGUUUCUACUGUACAAUUUCUCAUUGAAAACUGCCUCAGCAUUUUUUAAGAAGACAUCACUUCCCCCUUGGGGAAGAAAGAACUCAAUGACUUGAAGAAACUGAUGCUUCAGGUACCUUGAAAAAUUCAGCUGGUUUUGAUGAGAAACAGUCAAUGGGGCUGUUAGGGGUCCUGGCGGAUGCUUAGGCAGUGGCUGUCCUGGAUUCCAGGGAAUGCCCCAAACCCAGUGAUGCAGGACCCAGGACUCCAUCUGCUCAUUCUUCAUAAGGUUGGCUCACAGGUCAUCUGCUGAGAAGGUCAUCUUCUCCGUCUUCACUGGGCUCACUGAAUGAGGACAUUCCAAGAUCCCAGCUCAUCUCAUUUGAGCUUUCCUUUUCCUAAUCCCAUGCAUCUGUGUUUGAGAAAAUCUUCCCAAGUGAUAGAUCUUCUAUUUUCCGAUUUCUUCCAUGUUGUAUUACUUUUUUUAUUAAUAAUAAUAAAUACACAUAUUUUUGGUGUGUACAUGCA
rnacentral:lncRNA from 1 species